rnacentral:rRNA from 1 species
AACGAACGCUGGCGGCAGGCCUAACACAUGCGAGUCGAACGAUAUAGUGGCAGACGGGUGAGUAACGCGUGGGAACGUACCUUUCACUACGGAAUAGCUCUGGGAAACUGGUGGUAAUACCGUAUACGCCCUUAGGGGGAAAGAUUUAUCGGUGAAAGAUCGGCCCGCGUUGGAUUAGCUAGUUGGUGAGGUAAUGGCUCACAAAGGCGACGAUCCAUAGCUGGUCUGAGAGGAUGAUCAGCCACACUGGGACUGAGACACGGCCCAGACUCCUACGGGAGGCAGCAGUGGGGAAUCUUGCACAAUGGGCGAAAGCCUGAUGCAGCCAUGCCGCGUGAAUGAUGAAGGCCUUAGGGUUGUAAAAUUCUUUCGCCAGGGAUGAUAAUGACAGUACCUGGUAAAGGAGCCCCGGCUAACUUCGUGCCAGCAGCCGCGGUAAUACGAAGGGGGCUAGCGUUGCUCGGAAUUACUGGGCGUAAAGCGCACGUAGGCGGAUUCUUAAGUCAGGUGUGAAAUCCCGGGGCUCAACCUCGGAACUGCAUUUGAAACUG